rnacentral:rRNA from 1 species
AGCUCCAAUAGCGUAUAUUAAAGUUGUUGCGGUUAAAAAGCUCGUAGUUGGUCCGCCUUUCGGGUGAGCAUCUGGCUCGGCUUGGGCAUAUUCUUGGAGAACGUUCCUGCACUUGACUGUGCGGUGCGGUAGCCAAGAGCUUUACUUUGAGGAAAUUAGAGUGUUCUAAGCAGGCAGAUGCCUUGAAUACAUUAGCAUGGAAUAAUAAUAUAGGACUUCGGUUCUAUUUUGUUGGUUUCUAGAGCUGAGGUAAUGAUUAAUAGGGAUGGUUGGGGGCAUUCGUAUUUAAUUGUCAGAGGUGAAAUUCUUGGAUUCGUUAAAGACGGACGACUGCGAUAGCAUUUGCCAAGGAUGUUUUCA